rnacentral:rRNA from 1 species
ACGUAGGGUGCGAGCGUUGUCCGGAAUUAUUGGGCGUAAAGGGCUCGUAGGCGGCCAACUAAGUCAGGCGUGAAAUCCCUCAGCUUAACUGGGGAACUGCGUCUGAUACUGGAUGGCUUGGAUUUGGGAGAGGGAUGCGGAAUUCCAGGUGUAGCGGUGAAAUGCGUAGAUAUCUGGAGGAACACCUGCGGCGAAGGCGGGUUGCUGGGCUGACACUGACGCUGAUUGUGCGAAAGCUAGGGGAGCGAACGGGA